CCUACGGGUGGCAGCAGUGAGGAAUAUUGGUCAAUGGGCGGGAGCCUGAACCAGCCAAGUCGCGUGAGGGAAGACGGUCCUAUGGAUUGUAAACCUCUUUAGGCGGGGAGCAAUGCCGGGCACGUGUGCCCGGAGGGAGAGUACCCGCAGAAUAAGCAUCGGCUAACUCCGUGCCAGCAGCCGCGGUAAUACGGAGGAUGCGAGCGUUAUCCGGAUUUAUUGGGUUUAAAGGGUGCGUAGGCGGAAUUUUAAGUCAGCGGUAAAAUGUCCGGGCUCAACCCGGGCCGGCCGUUGAAACUGGGGAUCUUGAGUGGGCGAGAAGUAUGCGGAAUGCGUGGUGUAGCGGUGAAAUGCAUAGAUAUCACGCAGAACUCCGAUUGCGAAGGCAGCUUACCAGACUGCGACUGACGCUGAAGCACGAGAGCGUGGGUAGCGAACAGGAUUAGAUACCCCGGUAGUC
rnacentral:rRNA from 1 species